rnacentral:rRNA from 1 species
CGUAGGAGGCGAGCGUUAUCCGGAUUCACUGGGCGUAAAGCGCGUGCAGGCGGUUUGGUAAGUUGGGCGUGAAAGCUCCCGGCUCAACUGGGAGAGGUCGUUCAAUACUACCAAACUAGAGAGUAGAAGAGGAAGAUGGAAUUCCCGGUGUGGUGGUGAAAUGCGUAGAUAUCGGGAGGAACACCAGUGGCGAAGGCGAUCUUCUGGUCUAUUUCUGACGCUCAGACGCGACAGCUAGGGUAGUAAACGGGAUUAGAGACCCCGGUAAUCCUAGCCGUAAACGAUGUGAACUUGGCGUCGGUGGCUUAAACACCAUCGGUGCCGAAGCAAACGCGAUAAGUUCACCGCCUGGGGACUACGGCCGCAAGGUUA